GAAUGUGAUCGUACCAACACUAAAGCACCAGAUCCCAUUAGAACUCUGAAGUUAAGCGUGCUUGGGGGAAAGUAGUACUAGGAUGGGUGACCUCCUGGGAAGUCCUCUGUUGCAUUCC